rnacentral:rRNA from 1 species
UGANCUUGGUGCUUGCACUGGGAUGGAUGAGUGGCGAACGGGUGAGUAAUACGUUCUUUAACCUGCCCUNGAACUCUGGGNAUAAGCCUGGGNAAACUGGUNNCUAAUACUGGAUACNACAUCGUGCCGCAUGGUGUGGUGUGGAAAGGGUUUUACUGGUUUUGGAUGGGCUCACGGCCUAUCAGUUUGCNGGUGGGGUAAUGGCUCACCAAGGCGACGACGGGUAGCCGGCCUGAGAGGGUGACCGGCCACACUGGGACUGAGACACGGCCCAGACUCCUACGGGAGGCAGCAGUGGGGAAUAUUGCACAAUGGGCGGAAGCCUGAUGCAGCGACGCCGCGUGAGGGAUGACGGCCUUCGGGUUGUAAACCUCUUUCAGCACGGAAGAAGCGAGAGUGACGGUACGUGCAGAAGAAGCGCCGGCUAACUACGUGCCAGCAGCCGCGGUAAUACGUAGGGCGCAAGCGUUGUCCGGAAUUAUUGGGCGUAAAGAGCUCGUAGGCGGUUUGUCGCGUCUGCUGUGAAAGCCCGGGGCUUAACCCCGGGUGUGCAGNGGGUACGGGNAGACUUGAGUGNANNANGGGAGACUGGAACUCCUG